UUGGAUUAAAUCAUUGUGGGUCAUACACUUUAAAAAUUGAACUCACAUGAAAUGGUGGGACAUACAUUUAUUUUAUUCAA
rnacentral:pre_miRNA from 1 species